ACCAAGGUUCGCAAACGUUGGCAAGAGCAAGCGAGCAAACUAGCAAGCACAAACAGCUCGGCGGCACGAGCGGGUGCGCGUACGUGCAUCGAAAAUACACAGAGUACACUCGUGCCACUGACGAGGAUAGAACAGUUUUGGCGUCAUUGAAAACGUUGAAUGCACGAAGGUACGCAACGCACAGCGGCGGGUAACUCUGAUGGUUGUUGGCGCGGUCUCGCGCUUCGAAUGUGCGAGGCGUGCAAGACUGCAAGAGCGGCGCGACGGCGUGAAGCGGGCAAGGUAAAGCGGCGCUGAGUCAGAGGGGGCCAGCGAGCGCGCCACGAGGGAGUGAGACGAAAGCAAAACAUUGCCGGCGAACCCGGCAUGAUUCAUUUCUGAAGUCCUCUCGGGUGGAAAGGUACCGGGCUCGCGCGUAUAAAAACAUUAAAAACAUCAGAAUCAAUUUUGGAAAUGGAGUUCGUCCUUGAUACUUCUUCAACGUUUGUUUAUCACAUCGGCUUAAUUACGAUUCGUAAUUAGACACAUAAUUAGACAACGUCGAAAACACUUUUUUGUAAUGGUUUUACUCAUAAUUUGUUUCUUGUGCAUUUCUCUAAAACAUCGAGGGGAAAGUUCAAUCCUUUAAUUAUGUUUCCGUUUCCAACCAAGGCAUUACAAGUGAGUGAUUGACGAAAACAUCAACGGUGUAUUUCGUUUCGGCCACAAGUUUUAAAUUCUAAUUUUGGCAGUGUUUGUUGAAAUUUCUAUAUAAAAUAUACAAAAUGUCCAAUGCACAAUUAGUGCACAACUGAUAGAUGAAUGCAUAAAAUUCUUACUUAAAAACGUAAAUUCGAAAUAAGUAAAUUCUUUAUGUAGCAUAA